rnacentral:rRNA from 1 species
AGUGAACGCUGGCGGUAGGCCUAACACAUGCAAGUCGAACGGCAGCACAGUAAGAGCUUGCUCUUACGGGUGGCGAGUGGCGGACGGGUGAGGAAUACAUCGGAAUCUACUUUUUCGUGGGGGAUCACGUAGGGAAACUUACGCUAAUACCGCAUACGACCUGCGGGUGAAAGCAUGGGAUCUUCGGACCUUGCGCGAUUGAAUGAGCCGAUGUCGGAUUAGCUAGUUGGCGGGGUAAAGGCCCACCAAGGCGACGCUCCGUAGCUGGUCUGAGAGGAUGGUCAGCCACACUGGAACUGGAACAGGGUCCAGACUCCUACGGGAGGCAGCAGUGGGGAAUAUUGGACAAUGGGCGCAAGCCUGAUCCAGCCAUACCGCGUGGGUGAAGAAGGCCUUCGGGUUGUAAAGCCCUUUUGUUGGGAAAGAAAAGCAGCAGGUUAAUACCCCGCUGUUCUGACGGUACCCAAAGAAUAAGCACCGGCUAACUUCGUG